UACGUAGGGUGCGAGCGUUAAUCGGAAUUACUGGGCGUAAAGCGUGCGCAGGCGGUUCGUCGUGUCCGAUGUGAAAGCCCCGGGCUCAACCUGGGAAUGGCAUUGGAAACUGGCGGACUCGAGUGUGGCAGAGGGGGGUGGAAUUCCGCGUGUAGCAGUGAAAUGCGUAGAGAUGCGGAGGAACACCGAUGGCGAAGGCAGCCCCCUGGGCUAACACUGACGCUCAGGCACGGAAAGCGUGGGGAGCAAACAGGG
rnacentral:rRNA from 1 species